GGGUGUGAUCAUACGAGUAGCAAUGCACUGGAUCCCAUUAGAACUCCGCAGUUAAUCCUGCUUGCGGGAUAGGAGUACUAGGAUGGGUGACCUUCCUGGGAAAUCCUCGUGUUGCAACCC
rfam:Gossypium hirsutum cultivar TM-1 chromosome 14, whole genome shotgun sequence